GAUGAACGCUAGCGGCAGGCUUAACACAUGCAAGUCGAGGGGCAGCGUGGGGCAGCAAUGCUCUGACGGCGACCGGCGGAAGGGUGCGUAACACGUGAGCGACUUGCCCGUCACAGGGGGAUAACCGGCGGAAACGGCGACUAAUACCCCAUAUGCUGCGAUGCUGCAUGGCAUUGCAAUGAAAGAUUCAUCGGUGGCGGAUAGGCUCGCGGGACAUUAGCUAGACGGCGGGGCAACGGCCCACCGUGGCGACGAUGUCUAGGGGUUCUGAGAGGAAGACCCCCCACACUGGGACUGAGACACGGUCCAAACUCCUACGGGAGGCAGCAGUGAGGAAUAUUGGUCAAUGGACGAAAGUCUGAACCAGCCAAGUAGCGUGCAGGAUGACGGCCCUCUGGGUUGUAAACUGCUUUUAGUUGGGAAUAAAAAGAGGGACGUGUCCCUUAUUGUAUGUACCAUCAGAAAAAGGACCGGCUAAUUCCGUGCCAGCAGCCGCGGUAAUACGGAAGGUCCAGGCGUUAUCCGGAUUUAUUGGGUUUAAAGGGAGCGCAGGCGGCGGCGUAAGUCAGUUGUGAAAUCGUGCGGCUUAACCGUGCAAUUGCAGUUGAUACUGCGUCGCUUGAGUGCACACAGGGAUGUUGGAAUUCAUGGUGUAGCGAUGAAAUGCUUAGAUAUCACGAAGAACUCCGAUUGCGAAGGCAGCCUGCUAAGCUGCAACUGACAUUGAGGCUCGAAAGUGUGGGUAUCAAACCAGG
rnacentral:rRNA from 1 species